rnacentral:sRNA from 1 species
GACAGUCUUUAAAUCUUAUUUUUCAAAGUUAUAUUGAAAGUUAUAUUAGAAGAAGAAGCGGCUUCCUAAGCCCAGUACAAAUCUGCAAGUCUUAAUGAGAAAUUUGAGGGCCAGCUGAUAAAACGUUCUGACUAUUGUUUUUGUGUCCAAAACAGAAAUUAAAAGGGUUUGACUUGGGUGUUUUCCCCGCUUUUAGGCAGUUGAGCAGUCUUAGGAUUUGUAGGCUGACCUGACCGUUGCUUUGGCAUCAGGUGGCUGCUUUGGGAUCCUUACGCAGGCCCUGGGCAGUGAGGACCCUGUCUCUCAGCCUCAUGGUGUUCUGUGUUGUAGGCUGCUGCAGUACACGUUCGUGGGGGACAUAUUUAUGGUUCCUGAUGAUCCUCUGGGAAGAAGUGGACCUCGAUUAGAGGAGUUUCUUCAGAAGGAAGUCUGUCUUAGAGAUAUGCAGCCCCUACUCAGUGUCCUGCCAAAUGUGGGCAUGUUUGACCCCAGCUUCAGAGUCCCUGGCACCCAGGCAGCCAGCACCAGCCACCAGC